rnacentral:rRNA from 1 species
GUAGGGAAUAUUGCACAAUGGAGGAAACUCUGAUGCAGCGACGCCGCGUGAGUGAUGAAUGCCUUCGGGUCGUAAAGCUCUGUCGCAGGGGAAUAACACAAUGAAGGUACCCUGUAAGAAAGGAUCGGCUAACUUCGUGCCAGCAGCCGCGGUAAGACGAGGGAUCCUAGCGUUGUUCGGAAUCAUUGGGCGUAAAGCGGAUGUAGGUGGCUAUGUAAGUCAGAUGUGAAAGCCUGGGGCUCAACCCCAGAAGUGCAUUUGAUACUGCGUAGCUUGAGUGUCGGAGAGGUUACUAGAAUUGUUGGUGUAGUGGUGAAAUACGUAGAUAUCAACAGGAAUACCGGAGGCGAAGGCGGGUAACUGGCCGAACACUGACACUGAGAUCCGAAAGCGUGGGGAUCAAACAGGAUUAGAAACCCCGGUAGUCC